rnacentral:rRNA from 1 species
UAGCAGUGGGGAAUAUUGCACAAUGGAGGGAACUCUGAUGCAGCGACGCCGCGUGAGUGAAGAAGGUUUUCGGAUCGUAAAACUCUGUCCUUGGUGAAGAAAAGGACGGUAGCCAAGGAGGAAGCCCCGGCUAACUACGUGCCAGCAGCCGCGGUAAUACGUAGGGGGCGAGCGUUGUCCGGAUUUACUGGGCGUAAAGGGUGAGUAGGCGGUAAUAUAUGUCAGGUGUAAAAGAUCAUGGCUUAACCAUGGUUAGCACUUGAAACUGUAUGACUUGAGUGCAGGAGAGGUAAGCGGAAUUCCUAGUGUAGCGGUGAAAUGCGUAGAUAUUAGGAGGAACACCAGUGGCGAAGGCGGCUUACUGGACUGUAACUGACGCUGAGUCACGAAAGCGUGGGUAGCAAACAGGAUUAGAUACCCUGGUAGUCCACGCUGUAAACGAUGAGUGCUAGGUGUUGGGUAGCGAUAUUCAGUGCCGUAGUAAACACAAUAAGCACUCCGCCUGGGGAGUACGUACGCAAGUAUAAAACUCAAAGGAAUUGACGG